GGGGUGUUACAUUAGAUGCUCCAAUUGGCUAGACUCUAGGGUCCUGGAUAAGGGUGUUACAAAUAUUGUGGCGAUGAUGGUCAAAUAAGAAGCCCAGUAAAACAACCAAAAGAACUCAUUCUCAUUGCUUUGCAUUGGCAACGUGAAGUAGAUAAGCACAACAGAAGUAGAGGGGAUCAGUGCAAAUCCAUCUGCUAGAAGAAACACUUUAAAUGCUGCUUCUUCUGAUAAUACUGCAGUCCCUUUGUCAGAAAUGUAUCCAGCAGCCAUUGUGAAACCGGCUACGAAAGUUACUGUUGCAGUGAGUGUUGCCGCUAUCUGUUGGGUUUCGUUGGCUUUCUUGAGUCCAUGCUCUCAAUUCUUUUCAUUCUCUCUGACCUAUCUUCUUGGACGAUCUUAUUUCAAUGACAUUGUUUACAUCCAGCGUUAAUCAAGUUUCUUCUUGUUCCUUCUGAUAGAUAAUUUCUUGCAACUUGCUUUGUUAAACUAGCUUCCACAAUGUCAGUUGUGGGCAAAACAAUGUCCAGAGCAGUCAAGUUAUCCUUAUUAGUAGCAUUCUUGUCAACAAGGGGAUGCUUUAACAGAGUUGUACAGUUAAGCCCAAGAGCAGCAAGCAGGUGGAGAGGUGUGUUCCCUUCUUCAUCUUUCUGAUUUAUGAGAUUGGACAUGAAUGGAUUUUGAAGAAGAGCAAGCAAUGCUUUAAAACUAUAGCAUGAAGGGGUUGUUCACAAGGUACUCAAGCAUGGUGUUUUCUUGAGAUGUGAGCCAACUGAGCAUAUGUAUCUCUCUUAUAUGAAAAUGCUAGAUUACCAUUAUGUUCCUGAAGAGAAUCCAGUCUUUCUGAAUGACAAGAUGUCAAAGAUUGAAAAAGAUGCGGUGGUAAGAUUCAUUGUUAUUGGAACAAAGUGGCUUGAUUCAGAAAGGGAGUUUCAGGCAUUGUUUAGUUUGUAGGGCGAUUAUCUUGGACCAGUGUCCUAGAGGCCUGCGUUCUACUUUCCUGGAGAUACAUGUAAAUCUUUGUAACUUCUACAGUUGAACUUAGCUUAAGUGGAGGCAUGUUUGCUAUUCUUUUUGGAGCAAUGAAUUUUCCUGGAUACCUUAGCUCCCAGUCGUAAACUGUAGUGAUCUGAUUUUAUGUAUGUUUAGAAAUUUCUGUACUGACUUCUGUUUGCUGAUGUUGAAAAAUCAUACAAUUCAAUAGCGGAUGGGAAUUCUUCA
rnacentral:misc_RNA from 1 species